rnacentral:rRNA from 1 species
UUAGGUGACUAUAGCGGCAGUGUCCACCUCUUCCCAUUCCGAACAGAGAAGUUAAGCCUGCCUGCGCAGAUGGUACUGGAGUUACAUCCGGAAGAGUAUGUCGUCGCCAAAC